GACGAACGCUGGCGGCGUGCUUAACACAUGCAAGUCGAACGGAAAGGCCCUGCUUGCAGGGUACUCGAGUGGCGAACGGGUGAGUAACACGUGGGUGAUCUGCCCUGCACUUCGGGAUAAGCCUGGGAAACUGGGUCUAAUACCGGAUAGGAGCCAUUUUUAGUGUGAUGGUUGGAAAGUUUUUUCGGUGUAGGAUGAGCUCGCGGCCUAUCAGCUUGUUGGUGGGGUAAUGGCCUACCAAGGCGGCGACGGGUAGCCGGCCUGAGAGGGUGGACGGCCACAUUGGGGCUGGGAUACGGCCCAGACUCCUACGGGAGGCAGCAGUGGGGAAUAUUGCACAAUGGGCGCAAGCCUGAUGCAGCGACGCCGCGUGGGGGAUGACGGGCUUCCGGUUGUAAACUCCUUUCGCUAGGGACGAAGCUUUUUGUGACGGUACCUAGAUAAGAAGCACCGGCUAACUACGUG
rnacentral:rRNA from 1 species